ensembl:lncRNA
UUUCAGCUUCUUUCCUCAGGACGGAGGUUUCUAUCUCCAAGAUGCAGAUCGUGUUGCUGUUACUGAAUUAAAUAAGAACUGUUUUUGUUUUUGAUUCGAAACGUUAAAUUACUAUAUAUGUGCUAGAGUGAGGUUUAUAUUUAUUAGGUAUGUGUGUUUUUGAAGGGAUGCCAAAUGCUAUUAUUUUUCUGUAAAGCAAAUUUACCUAUGGGUAUAAAUAAAAUUACCUUACCUUAAAUGAGGUACAGCUGACUUCUGCUAGAAUCAUAAAAUAAAACCAGAAGUUUUUUCAAUGCAGUUUGUUUAAGAUGUGCGUGUACUUGCAGGCAGAUGUUGUUCUUUUGGUAACGUGCUCUGUAAGGUAGUAACAAAGAUCAAACUCAUGAAAAGCGUUAAAAUCUAGUGCUAGGUGAUGGCAGCUUUUGGCAGUUUUGCAACCUAAUCUCUUUUCUUAAUAGAGAAAAGGCUGAGCAAACAAUAUGGAAUAGACUGCAACAACUAACAGCCAUGAAGAAGAAACGAUUAAAGACCCACACGCCAAUGAAAAUUGGACUUUUAGGACAGUGAAGUGUCUGACACUGACCAUGUACCAGUGCCUGAGAACACUGGUAUGGAGGGGGAGAACGCACCUCUUUACUGCAUUUGUCGGAAACCAGACAUCAACUGCUUCAUGAUCCUUUGCCAUGAUAAAUUGGUCAGUUUACAACCAGGAGCCGUACACCUUAACCUCAGAGGCCAGGACAUCCAGGGGCAGUGUGAACACACACUUCUUUAAAUGGGAUGCAGGACUGACUAUAGAGGGCCACCCCCUCGCCAGACAACCAAGUGCUGUCCCUGUGCACGGCCAGUGUGAGAAGGACUCUCACUAAAGUCAACCCACACAAAGCUGCUGGACCAGACAAUAUACCCGGACGUGUGCUCGGAGCCUGUGCUGACCAGCUGACUGAUGUCCUAGCGGGCAUCUUUAACAUCUCCCUGAGUCAAGCUGUUGUGCCAAGUGCUUUAAAACCACCACCAUCUUACCUGUACCAAAGACAGCUACAGCCUCGCAGUUCGAAGACAAUGGACGAUGCGAUCUCAUUGGCACUCCACCUAGCCCUAUCACAACUGGAUCAAUGCAACGUCCACCUAAGAAUGCUGUUCACUGAUUUCAUCUUAGCAUUCAACACCAUCAUUGCCCAGCAGCUGAUCGGCAAGCUGGACCUGCUCAGACUUAACACCUCCACCUGCAACAGGAUCCUGGUCUUUCUUACUGAUGGACCCCAGACAGUACAGGUUGGAAACAUAAGAUCCAACACCAUCACACUGAGCACAGCCCCCCCCCCAGGGAUGUGUGCUGAGCCCGCUACUCUUCACGCUGCUGACCCACGACUGCACCUCCAGCUCCAACAUGUGAUGAGUCAAUGUUGUGAUUGUUUGUGAUUUAUGGUCCCCCUCUCUCCUAGCCUCCACCACCCAACAAACAGUCUGUGCUUCCAAGUGUUACUUAGUGUCU